rnacentral:lncRNA from 10 species
CUAUGAUCUACAGUGCCCAUUCCAACUCAGAGAAUCUUUACAUCUGGAGAUCUAUAGCAGGGCUAUCCCUAGUGACAUGCGUGAAGAAGCUUGGAAAUGGUGCUGGGUAGGAGCUGAGUGUGCAGAAUGUGGAAAGGCAUUCUAAACCAAAGGAAGAACACGAGUAAAGAUGAUGAAGCAGGGAUAAGGCUAAAAUGAAAUUUGUGAUCUGAUCCACAUACAAGCACAGUGUAGUACAGCUGGAAUAUAGAGAAGAGCUUGAAGACUUAUGAGCAACUAUCCCGGUACUCUUGGAGGCUCUGCAACCACAGUUUGAGAAACUCCGCGUUCAAAGUUAAAAACUGUCACCUGAAUAGUUAAUAACAUCAAAGAUUGUGAAAGCAAGUAUAAAUAACACAGAGAUUAAAAUAAUGAGGCAGGAUCAGAAAGUCCUUGGAACAGGAGAAAGGGUUGGAAAACAAAGAUCACUUUUCUCUGGCCAAAUGGAAUCACCCAACAAAGUACCUUCCUGAUGGGCCAGCUAUUUCAGAUGAUGAAGGUUUAAGAAGCAGCAUCAUCAGCGAACUGUGUUUUGAAGAUUUGAGGGAAGGGCUGACCUCAGGAUUUUAUACUAGUUGCUGACCUCCAUAACAGCAGACAAAAUUGGAAGCAAGAGUGAUUUUGGAGGAGUCACACUUAGAUGUUUCCCUUACCUAUUUCUGUUCUGGAAAUUUAAAAAUCUUACUUCUCGUGACAGUCCUACAUGAAAAAUUAAAAAUCACAAGGAUUCAUGGAUGGAAAACUGAGACUCAGAGAAUGAUCACAUUCACAUCGUAAUAAAUCAGCAAUAGAGU